rnacentral:rRNA from 1 species
GUAGGUGGCAAGCGUUGUCCGGAAUUAUUGGGCGUAAAGCGCGCGCAGGCGGGUCCUUUAAGUCUGAUGUGAAAGCCCACGGGCUCAACCGUGGAGGGUCAUUGGAAACUGGGGGACUUGAGUACAGAAGAGGAAAGCGGAAUUCCAAGUGUAGCGGUGAAAUGCGUAGAGAUUUGGAGGAACACCAGUGGCGAAGGCGGCUUUCUGGUCUGUAACUGACGCUGAGGCGCGAAGGCGUGGGGAGCAAACAGGAUUAGAUACCCUGGUAGUCCACGCCGUAAACGAUGAGUGCUAAGUGUUAGGGGGUUUCCGCCCCUUAGUGCUGCAGCUAACGCAUUAAGCACUCCGCCUGGGGAGUACGGCCGCAAAGGCUG